rnacentral:rRNA from 1 species
AUUGAACGCUGGCGGCGGGCUUAACACAUGCAAGUCGAGCGGGGAGAUGUAGCUUGCUACAUUUCCUAGCGGCGGACGGGUGAGUAAUGCUUAGGAAUCUGCCUAUUAGUGGGGGACAACAUUCCGAAAGGAAUGCUAAUACCGCAUACGCCCUACGGGGGAAAGCAGGGGAUCUUCGGACCUUGCGCUAAUAGAUGAGCCUAAGUCAGAUUAGCUAGUUGGUGGGGUAAAGGCCUACCAAGGCGACGAUCUGUAGCGGGUCUGAGAGGAUGAUCCGCCACACUGGGACUGAGACACGGCCCAGACUCCUACGGGAGGCAGCAGUGGGGAAUAUUGGACAAUGGGCGAAAGCCUGAUCCAGCCAUGCCGCGUGUGUGAAGAAGGCCUUUUGGUUGUAAAGCACUUUAAGCGAGGAGGAGGCUACUUGGAUUAAUACUCUAGGAUAGUGGACGUUACUCGCAGAAUAAGCACCGGCUAACUCUGUGCCAGCCGCCGCAGUAA